GCUGUCCUCCCUCCUCUGGCAUGGAGGAGCACAACUCGGGAGGAGCAGAGGGCAACUUGGGGCCGGAGGCAUCUGCAGCUACCUGUCCCAGGCACCCCAGAGUCUCUCGGGGUAUGCUGAUGAUGGUGACAGGCUCAAGUUGAAGCUGCAGGAGGAACUUUUUGCUGCUUUUAAGCAGCCCAGGCCUGGGACAGGUUCAGACAGAAGCCCAGGCUCUGAGCGCUGGGUGGGAGUCAGGGGGGCUGUGUUACAGAACAGCAAUAGGAAGAGCUCCGAGCUUGGAAUUCACACACAUGCCUGGAUCCUGGCUCCUAUGUGAAAGGCUGGGUGACCUUGGCCAGGGUCUGAAAGUCUCCUGAUAACAGCAUGAGAGGAGCUGCAGUCGAUGAAAUCCCAGGCUGCCAUGAGCGUGCAGAGGAGCUUUGUAACACCUGCGUGAUAUUAAUUGAUAAUAGCUGGCUUUCUGGGGGAAAGAAAAAAGCUCCUGACGCGUGGUGGUUGCCAGUUGCUGUGGCGUGGAUGCCCAUGAGAGACGUGCACAUAUGCUCACCAGUUAGGAGAUUUGUCACAGUGCUGCUUCAUGACAGCCACAGAUUGGAAUGCCCACUAACAGGAGAAUGGACAAAUUAAUCAUAGCAGAGCCACACCAUGGAAUAUCACACGGCAAUGAGAAUGUGUGCACCACAGCCAUUUGCAGCAAUGCAGAAGCAUCUCCCAGUCAGCAUGCUGAGGGAAGACGCCAGACCCAAAAAGAGCACAGCCAGCCUGAUUCCAUGUAUGGGAAGUUCAGAACCAGGCAAAACUAC
rnacentral:lncRNA from 10 species